GUUCUAGUCCCGGUCGGGGCGCCGGAUUCUUUCCCGGUUGCCCCCCUUCCAGGCCAGCUCUCUGCUGUGGCCAGGGAGUGCAGUGGAGGAUGGCCCAAGUGCUUGGGCCCUGCACCCCAUGGGAGACCAGGAGAAGCACCUGGCUCCUGCCUUCGGAUCAGCGCGGUGUGCCGGCCGCAGCCCGCCAGCCGCGGCGGCCAUUGGAGGGUGAACCAAUGGCAAAGGAAGACCUUUCUCUCUGUCUCUCUCUCUCUCUCUCACUGUCCUUUCUGUCUUCAUUAGCAAACAAUGUAGAAUUUACAAUUCAAAAGGCUUUUUUAGUUCACUGGAGACAAAAUUUAAAGAAAACUUUCUCUUAUAUUUGCAUUUUGCAGCAAUCUAUCAAUCAUUUACAUUUCAUUACAUUCCUUGUAAUGAAUCAGUAAAAAAUAUUUGCUAAACAAAUAAUUGCUUCAGGAAAGGACACUGAGAAAUUGAUUUCAACACACCUACCUUUGCACACAUUCUCCUGUGCGGAAGUUCACCUGACUGCCAAGCCCUGCCAGCGCUCCAGUUGCCAAAAAUGGUGAGUUGCCUGCAAGCUAGCCAUGUGAUGCUUUUCUAGCCCACUCAGGUGGAGGGCCUUUAAAAUUAACAUACUGAUAAGGAGACAACCAGACAAAGCCAAUUGAGGGAUAUUCUACAUUAAGCUGUUCUCAACACUACAAAAAUGUCAGUGCCAUGGAUGACAAAGGAACGGGUGGCACCCAAAUGCUACAGUACAAUGGGAGUUUGAAUUGGAAAUGAAUUCAUGCACUAUCCAGGGCAACCUCUCAGGUAGUAUAAGAAUCCUCAGCAGGACCUUUCUGUGAUGGACAGUCCUGUAAUCUGGGCUUGGACUUUGACAGAACCAAGGAGGUUAUAAUUCAUCAUGUCCCAAGAGGGCACACAUGCUGGAGUCUAUUUCAAAGGUUGUUGCCCUCUAUGUACCAGCAUUACAAUUAUUCAUGAGAUGCUCCUCCUGCUCUGACUUUGGGAUGCUGGUUACUGGAAAAGCAGACAUAUGGACUCAAGAUGUCCUACUGGGCUCCCACUCUGAGUCAGGAGUGCACAGAGGCAGCUGCACCAUUUACAGCCUAAUUGCUAGUGUCGUAGAUCACAGGAUGCCCAAAGUUCACCGGGAGGAGAUGAAGAUGUCAGAGAGGACCCCUGAAGAGACACAUCAAAAGCUUCCCCUUUCUGACUUUCUUGAUAAGGACUCCAAAUGUGUACUGAGGGUUGUGUGUUGUUAUGGCGACCAGAGGGGAACAACUUGGGAUGUAAAGGAAGAAAAUAAGUUGGAAAGAAUCACAUCUUCAAAAUCUUUCCAUAUGACAUAUUUCUGAAAUAAUGGUACGUUGAAGGAUGUGCAGGUAGGCUGUAGGGUGAGGGUGGACUUUGCAGAGUUAAGUUCCAAUUUUCUUUUUAUGAAAGAAAAAAGUGCAUAGAGUCCAAGUAUAAGCUCUGACACUCCAAAACCUAGUUUCAUAGCUAGCCUCUGCUAAUUCCCUGCACUGAAGUCUUGAUGUGGUCACUUGAUCACUCUGGACCUGUCAAAAGGAGAUAAUGUUCUGAGGAUUAAAUGAGUCCGCCAUCACUUUACCAAGCAUUCACAUUGCGCAUAAGUGGCCAAUGCAUUUUUGGUUCUCAGGAUUUCCUUUUUUUCAUAAGAGGAGUCCAGCCUAUGGAUAACAUGCAGGUUCAGGAGUCAAUCUUUUUUUAGUCACCUGAUGCUGGGCAAGCCACUCACCUUUCCAAACCUCAACUUUCCCAUUUGUAAACUGGGGAUAUUUGUAUUGGAUAUUUCAUAAAGCUUCCUUAAAAUAAUGGAAAAAAUUCCCUUACAUGUAAGAAAUCUAACACUAUCUACCAUAUUGUAAAUGCUUAACAAUAUGAGCUUUUAUUAUUCCAGGAAAUUGUAACUAGCAAGGUGACAGGAUAUAGGGAGAGGGGGUGGAUAGUGAAAUAAUGGUUCUCUGUUUUGCUUGAAGCAGGAUUUUUCUUCUAGAAUAUGAAUUGCUACUAAAGAAAAAUAAUCUUUGAAUUUCCCCUUAUCCAGUCUUACAAACUAUUAUAGAAACAGUACAUAUGAAAAAAUGUAUUUGUAGAAAGAAUAUCUUUAUCAUCGUAUCAUAUAUAAUGUUGAACUAUUAUCUUAAUGAUUGCCAUGAGAACAUUUAAAAAUACCCAACAGCUCUCACUGGUCAAUAAUUAUAUGGUGAAAAUUAUAUUGAAAAAGGAUUAAAGUGCAAUGUCUCUCAGUUCCUUAAAUUGAAAUUUUAUGACUCAAUGGUUAUCACCUCAUAAUGGUAUAUUCUUUGUAUGUACAUUGAAUUGAUGUUCUUAACUAUUCACUGCCUUCCAAGAGCCAAGCACGCAUUCCUGUUUUGAUGAUGCUGUAUUUGGCCAUAUGACAUUUUGAUCAAGGGCAGGUUUUGAGAAGACAUGUGCGUUAUCUGGCACAUUACUCAUAACCUGAGAUCCUGCUUUCUGCUAUACAGCAGCAAGUUCUAGAGAAUGAAAGGCCUCUCUUUCAGAGGAGUCACAUGUAACCCAAAAGUGCCAAGCAGAACCUGGCAAAAUCAAAACAGAUCUGCAGCUGUCUUCAAAUGUGAACCAUAAAUUGAAUAUUUGCUUUUGCAAGCCACUAGGAGUUAAUGGUUGGUUGUUGUUGCAAAAAUCAAACAAUAAAUAUAUAACUAUAUAUAGAGGAAUUAAUAUUCCUAUUUGGCAGAGGAGCAACAAAAUCAAAUAUGGUAAAUAACUUGCCACAAUAAUUUUUGGUCAAAUCGGGAUUCAACUCAAGAUGAUCUGUCUCUAAAAUGUUAGACAACAUGGAAUACUGUAGUCUAAGGAUGGAAUCUAUUAGGGAAAGCUCUAUAAUGUGAGGUUUUAAAGGUGAAACAUGGACAAAAUCUAACAUUUCAUAUGCUCCCACCUAAGAAUGCUCAAUGUAUUUAUUAAAAAAAUAAAUGAAGCAAAGCACAUAUAUUCUGGACAGAUCCAAAAGAACAUAAUAAAUAUUGAGAAAAAAUAAAUAUUUCUAGGGCCAAAUCUUUUGUUAAAUUGCAUUUAUGUAGGUGACCCAGACACACACACAACAAAAUCUAUACUGAAUUCCACUCAAACUGGAUUACAUUCUCAUGGAUGAAUUGCUGUUUGGCUUAGUGGCUAAGAUGCCUACGGCCCAUAUAAGAGUACCUGACUUUGAUGUCCAACUCUGGUCCCGACUCCAGCUUCCUGCUAAUGAAGACCCUGGUAGGCAGUGGUUAUGGUUAAAAUAAUUGAGUUCCUGGCAUCUGUGUGACCUGUACUGAAUUCUCAGCUCCUGGCUUCAGUCUGGCUAAGCCAGGGCCAUUGUGGGUAUUGGGAGAGCCAACCAGUGAAUGAAAAAUAUUUCUUCCUGUUUAAAUCUAUCUCUCAAAUAAAUAAAUCAAAUAUUAUUUAAAUUUGUAAGGAGAAAAGAAGUCAGAUUUUUAGUUAAAUUCCUUUCAAUUCUUAGCAAGGUCCCCACGGACCCUUCUGUAUAAACUGUGGCCUUAAGAAAGGCCUCUGGGCCUCCUUGACUUUCUCUAGUUACCCCUGCUUUGAGGAUUUCUCUUCAUUUGAGAAAUGAAUAAUUCAGAGUUAGAAACUCUACAGUGAGUCUCAAAAUCCCCAGCCUCCCAACUUGGUCAUAUCCUCAUUAUGGGAAAAGCCAUUCCAAAAGGCAAACAGCUUUUCAUAAUUGUUAUUUAAUGGAUAUUGCCUGCUCCUGGGAUUUCUUCCUCAGUAUCUAUUUGUAAUUCAAAGGUCAGCAUAAUACCACUGGCAUACACAAGGAUUCUAAGAGAUUUGUUCUUCCUGAUUGAAAUUCAGAUACAGUGACACAGUAGAUUAGUCUAGUUGCCUCUUUGGUGGUGUGGGUCAUAGUUAGCAGGAAUCUCUCCUUAUCAUAAUUCUGGGUGAACCCAGUUACUAGAAAAGACCCAUGAAUGUGGAAUACAGCUGGAAUACUCGUAGGGCCUAAGGGGGAUAUCACCAAGCAGGAAAGCUUCCUAUUCUCCUAUGGCUAUUGUCUCUCCCGUUAACUGAGCCUAAUAUCGCCUAAAUGUGUUUCUCCUUAAGAUAAUUUAAGCAGGAAAAGGUGGCCCCAGAGAGUAUUUUUGGCCUCAUGCAUGUACUUAUUUGCUGGAUUUAUAUGGCACUCUACACUUAAUUAGUGAUGGCAGUCUCAUUUCAAGAUAUUAUACAUUGAAAUAUUAUUCAACAAGAAAGCUAUUUUACCAAGUGGGCAUGCAUGAUGAUUAUUUAUUAGUUUAAAAUACCUCCCUUUUUCCCUUCUCACCAAACGCCACUUCCAUUUUGAAUAAGCUAGAAGCAUUCAUACACUAAGUUUAUGCAUAAAGAUUGGCUGCUUUCAGGUACUUGUAGCUUGAGCUGUAAAGGAGAAAAACAUCAUAAAAGUCACAGCAUUUAUGGUAAAUGCUUGUUUACCUGAAAAACGGAGGCAAAUUAAAAAUCACAAAGGACAAAUGCCAGCAUGGAUUGGAUAUGUGUGUGUAUGUAUGGGUGUGUGUGAGGGUGUGUGACUAUGUAUGUGUAUAUGAAAGAGAGAGAGGGAAAGACAAAGAGUUUUCAUUUUCUUCUUUCUAUUCUAUUUUAUAGCGUGAUAUUUGGAGUUCACCGUUGAGGUUAUUUCCAAUCAAAUUUCAUUCAACCCUAGCCCAAUGUAUAGGUUGUUAGCAUGGAUACUACUGGGUUAUGGGCCACAUAUCCUGUAGGUUUAAAUGGAGGAUAUAAAACUCACUUCUAUAAGGUCAAAAUAAUUCCUCCUCCCCCAGAGAACAUGAUAGUAAUUUUGAAGACAGAAGUUUAAAAGGGAGCAGUCAGCAGUACUUAAAAUAAAAUCUAAGAGAGCAGUUCAAAUUUUUGAACACAACAGGCAAGGUCAUGGGAUCAGUUUUCUGCAUGAAACUCUGACCCUGGUGGCACGCACUGCCUUCCAAUACCCUUCACCCUGCAUAGCAUCAUCACUUCACCAAGCAGUCAUGUUGAUUUGUUGGCUUUUGUUCAGAUUACAGCUUACACAUUGAGGGUGGAUGAGUCUGAAUCAGAGGGUAGACAUUUUGUUUCUGAACCUUAAAUACCCAACAUUUUAAAAGAUGUUAGCAGAGAAAGCUUUCCUUAAGGUUAACAGCAACUGAAAACUGUCAUACAGAGGGCUCACCAUGUGACAGAUGCUGUGUGAAGAGCUUUACAUGCAUCAUCCAUGAUGUAGAGAUCAAAGCUACAUAAAAAUCUAUUGCACACAUCAUGGGUCACUGUGAGACACUUAUCGUUUAUUAUCCAGUGGAUCCUUGAAAAGUGUCUAAACUCACUGUUGCCAAUUUUUCUCCUCCUGUUCUCACUUUCAAUUCACUCAGAUUAUCACCUCCUUCAUUUCAAUCUAACUGCUUUUGUCAAGGUCACCAGUGGCUGCUGUGGUGGUAAAUCCAAGGGUAUUUCUUAGAAUUCAUCUUUCUUGACCUAUCAGCAGCAUUUGAUGCACUUUUUGUUGCUUUUAAUUUGUCAUUUCAAUGGAGAAUAGAAUGAAAGUGUGAUAUGAGACAGUUCCUGAGAAAUUUCAGUUGGAACUCUCCUUCUGAAAAAAAAUAAAAAGAUAUGCUGGCAAAAGUAGGGCAUGGAAUGGACAGAGAAAAAAACAAGCAGAAAAAAUGGCCAUGAAGUGCCAUGAGGCUGAUCUAAGGCUUCAGGAAAGCUCUCUAAGACAUGGAUGAGCCAUGUGGUAAGAUUAAUGUUUCCCAUUCCCUUGGAAAACUUUGUGUGAGGAAAAAUAAUAAUAAGCAUUCUUAUUGAAGUUUAUUUGUGUGCUAGGCACUGAUUUAAAUAAAUUAUAUGCAUUAAUUCAUUUAUUCUUGGGCAAUCCAGAUUCUUAUGCCCAUUUGACAGAUUGAAAACUGAAGCAAACAAAAGUUAAAAACAUUCUCAAGGUCAUUUGUUUAGUAAGUCAAUGUGUCAUGAUUUGGACCAAGAUAAUGAUAACCAUUGUCCCUAUUUCAUAGCAUUUGAAGUCAGCCAUUUACCCGGGAACAUCUGAGCAACAUGCUGAAAAGUUAGAUCCUAUGAAAAUGAUUAAAAAUACACACACAUACAAUAAUACAUGGUUCAGUUGUGUUACAUUCAGUUGUGUUAACAGAAGUGUGCUACAUUGGAAAUUUUCCAGCCACUCUGCCAUGUGCUUCAAAUGGGUUCACUUAAUUCUCACAACAACCCUGUGUGGUAUAAUUACUGAUAUAUUCUCCAUUUUACAGAUGAAGAAACUGAGUCACAAAUGAUUGUCCCUGGAUCACAGAGCUCAUCGGCACUGAGUUUAAUAGGCAUCUGGGAGAUUCUAUUUUCUUAAUGCUUUGCAUGUAUAUAAUUUAAUAAUAAAAAUAAUAAAUCCAUGUAUUGUGACUCUUUUUUCAGUUAGGAGGUAAUUUUAAAAUGUUGUGCAUACUUAAAAAAAAACUUGAGUCUAUUGGUCUAAGGAAGGAACCAAGAAAACUUUUCUAUAAAUGGUCAUACAGCAAAUUUUGUGGCUAUGCAGUCUCUAAUCUAGGUACCCAUCACUGCUGCUGCAGCAGCCAGGCAGCCACAGAAAUUACACAGACGAAUAGGCAUGGCUGUGUUUCAGUAGGACUUAGAUGACAAAAAGUGGUGGCAGAAUGGAUCUGGUUAACGGGCUAUAGUUUCCUGACCCUACACUAGUGCAGUGAAACUGGUGCUGUUUUGUUAACUAGUAUCCUGUUUAAUGAGAAUAGCUCAAAGCAGCUUCAUGACUGUAACAGAGAAUUUUACUUGAUCAUAAUGCAACAAUUCUUACUUUUGUUUUGAGAAUAAAAAUCUACCUUUUUUAAAGCUAGACACAUGAUGGCCUGGAGUUUAACCUGAUCCCUUGCAACAAGCUAUGACCAUGCAAUAGAUUCUCAUUAAUGAGAUAUAAGCAAAUGUUAUAUGUAUAUCUUCUAAAAAUUACUUGCAUAAGGAAAGAGAAUAUACUCUGUCUUGUGGGCUGAUCUAUAGAUAUAAUUUCUGGAGUUCCAGCAGCUAUCUUGAAGCAAGAGGUCACUUUUAGAAAGAAACCACACCUGGUGCAGCAGAAAGAUGUAAGAAACCCAUGUCCUGAAAACCUUGGGGAGCAAGGCAUCCUAUAUCUAGGAUUCUUUUAUAUGAAAGAGAAAUAUACCUCUAUUUUUGUAAACUUGCUACUAUUUGAGUUUUCAGUCACACUUACCUAAUCUAAUGCUGCUUGUGGCAAUGGCCGUGUGUGUGUGUGUGUGUGUAUCCCUCUUAACUACUCAUAUAUAUAUAUAUAUAUAUAUAUAUAUAGGAUGCACUUGUUUCAUGAUACUAGGAAGAUGACAGGAUGGGAAGGUGUUGUGACCUAAGAAAAGAACUCUGAACUUGAAAUCAUAAAACCUGGCCUUGCUGCUCACUGUGUGAUUCUUAGCAAGUUGUUUUAGCAUCACUGACAGUUUCCUUAUUUGAAAAUAGGGUGGCUACAGCUAAUUCACAGCCAUGCUGUAAGGCUAAAGCAAAAUAAAAUAUGUGAAGAUGAUUAUAUAGUAAACAUUUGUAAAAUAUAUAGAUGCAUAUAAAUAUGUAUAUAAUUGUAUUCAUGUAUAUAAUUUUUGUGACUAUUAGAGAUAUACUCAUAUAUAUGGAAAGACAGUGAUGAACACUGAAGUAUUAACAUUAGUUACCUCAACACAGUGAGAUUAAAGACAAUGUGAGGGACAAGCAUUGACCUGUGUCCCAUAUUGAUAUGCCUACAUUCAAGUCCUGGCUCCAUUCCCAAUUUCAGCUUCCUGCUAACAUGUAUCAUGGGAGGCAGCACUGGUGGUUGGAGUAAUUGAGUCCUUGCAAAAGCUGGAUUGAUUUCCUAUUUACUGGCUUCAGCCUGGCGUAGCCCUGGCUGUUGCAGAUAUUUGCUGAGUAAAACAACGGAUAUGGGGUCUCACUCUGUCUCUGUGUCUUUUUCUCUAGCAUUCAAAUAAAUUAAUUUUUUUUAAUUUCAAAAAAUACAUAUAAGUGUGAAUGGAGAUUUUGAUUUUAUCUUUACAUAUUUAUAUAUUUAUUACAAUGAGCAUAUUUACAAAAUAAAAUAAUGAGUGCAAAUAAAGAGAACUGCAUAUGAAUAUGUAUGCAAAUAUGUAUAUGUAUAUGCAUAUCUAGCAUGAUAAAAGGCAAAUACAGAACCCAUGUUUGCUGAAACCCAAUAUGAUAAGCUUCAGGAAACAUCAGUUAUUGCAGAUAAUUUUCUUUUGACUCACAAGAGGAAGACAGAAAGUAGAGAAGGGAAAUGUUAGGGAAUUUAACUAAGGGGUAUUCUCUCAAGUAUGAUUACUCUGAAUAUAUAAUAGUCACACUAUAUGACUCACAAUUUCCUGAAGGUUUUUAGACGUUUCUGGGCUCUGCAUACACUGACCUAUGCUGUUCCUUCCAACAUGGAAUUUUAUUCCCAGCUUCACACACUUUGGCUCAUUUUUAAACUCUAAUAUAUUUUUAUGAAGGCUAUUCCAGUUCCCUCAACUAGGAUACCAUUCUUUGUAAUUCUCCAUACACUAAAAAAUGCCUACCAUACUAUCUUAUAGUUAUUUACUUAUAUGUUUUUAUUCCAAUGUAGAAUGAGCAGCAAAGACAUCUCCUCUUUCUCACUCAUUCAUUCAAAGUUCUUUUUUAGUGCCUUUACAUCAGAUGAAGUUUUAUAUUCAGGGAUUAUAGUAGUGGACAAAAUAGACAAUCAUCCUCCCCUCAUGAAGCUUAAAUUUCACUGUGGGAGACUAAAACAUAGAUAUAAAGUUAAAUAUCUAUACAAUAUCCGAUUCGGACAAGUGUCAGUGGGUGAGAAGGGUUCCAGGAGGGGAUGAUUUUGAGUUUUAAUUUUAGUUUUAAGAGUUCUUUCUUUUAGUGGAAGAGAGAUAGAGAAGGGGAGAGAGAGAGAGAGAGCACAUGCGCUCCAAUCUGACAGUUUACUCUCCAAGUUCCUGCAAUGGCUGGGGAUGCCCUGAAGUUAGAGCCAGAAGGGGGAAACUCAAUCAGGCCUCACACGUUGUUGGCAGAACAAUUACUUGAGCCAUCCCUGCUGUCUCACAGGGUCUGCACUAGACAGAAGCUUAAGUCAGGAGCUAGAGAAGGAUGUUGAACCCAGGCACAAGUGUGGGACUCAGAUGCCCUAACUGCUAGGCUGAAUGUUCAUCCUCAGGACAUACAUUUUAGGUAGAAUAUUUUUCUUGUCCCAACUGCUCCACAUCCUAUCCAACUCCCUGCUAAUGCACCUGGGAACGCAGCAAAAGAUAGCUCAAGUUCCUGGGCUCCUGCACCUUGUGUGAGACAUAGAGAAGGCUCCUGGCUCCUGGCUCCUGGCUCCUGGCUCCUGGCUCCUGGCUCCUGGCUCCUGGCUCCUGGCUUAGGCUCAGCCUUGUGGCCAUUUGGGAAAUGAGCCAGCAGAUGGAAGAUCUCUGUCCUCUCCCCCCUCUCUCUGUAACUCUGCCUUUCACAUAAAUAAAGCUUUUGAAAAAAAAUUCAGUUCUUAAAUGAAGUGUUGUGAUUCUUCUUUAAAAGGUUAAAAAUCUUCCAAAAACUUCUAAGACACUGAAGAACAGGGAGGAAAGACCUCCCUCCACGUGUCUAAGAUGUUUAACAGUGGUGAAUUAUGGUACUGAGGGUAUCUUUAGAGUGCUUUAAAAGUCACUGCAAGAGUAUUUUCACUUCACAUAAUACAAAACACAGCUUAGAUUAGCAAAAAACAACAUCAAAAAUGUUUAUAGAAUUUUAAUAUCAGGGCUGGUGUUGUGGUGUAGUGGGUAAAGCUUCUGCCUAUAAUGGCAGCAUCCCAUGUGGUUCAUGUCCUGGCUGCUCCACUUCUAAUCUAGCUCCCUCCUGAUAGCCUGGGAAUAGCAGCAGAAGAUGGCCCAAGUACUUGGGCCCCUGCCACUCAUGUGAGAAGCCCAGAUGGAUUUCCUGGCUCCUGGCUUUUUCUAGCUCAGUGCUGGCCAUUGAGGCUAUUUGCAGAGUGAACCGGCAGAUGAAAGAUCUCUCUGUGUCUCUCCCUCUCUGUCUAUAAUUUGGACUUUUAAAUAUAUAAAUAAAUCUUUUAAAAUAAGAAAUUUUAAUAUCAGUGAUUUGGGAGAAACAUUCUGUGUGUUUGUAUAAAUUUUAGAUGACGUAGUAUAUCUUUGGAUAGCAUAUGGUUAUGUUAAUAUCAUGUAAAAUGAUGACAAAUAAUGUUUGCUACCUUUCUUGUUAAAAAGGAUAAUACAACUAAAUUUAACCAUGAUGGCUAUUUUGCUAGUGGGACUUCUAAAUAUUCUGUGAAUCAUUUUGAUAGUUCACAUAAAAGAAAAAUAUAAAAGCUUGUAAGUAUGAUAAAAAUCUUGCAUUAUUCUCCAGAAAAGGAGUGUUGGUGUAAUAGGAAACUAAAAUUUGAUACAUUACUUCCAAUCACGGUCUUUACAUCACUUUUAAGACUGUAAAGCACAUGUAGUCAGGCCCCUGGAUCAAGACUGUUUAGAUUUGACACUGGGAUUGUUCUGGAACAUCUUUUUUAUUUUUUUAAAGAGCUGCUAAUUAUUUAUUUAUUUAUUUAUUUGACAGGUAGAGUUAUGGACAGUGAGAGAGACAGAGAGAAAAGUCUUCCUUCCGUUGGUUCACUCCCCAAAUGGCCGCUAUGGGCUGGAGCAACGCUGAUCCGAAGCCAGGAGCCAGGUGCUUCCUCCUGGUCUCCCACGAGGGUGCAGGGGCCCAAGUACUUGGGCCAUCCUCCACUGCCUUCUCGGGCCACAGCAAAGAGCUGGACUGGAAGAGGAGCAACCGGGACUAGAACCCGGAGCCCAUAUGGAUGCCAAUGCCGCAGGUGGAGGAUUAACCUAGUGAGCCACAGCGUCGGCCCCCUCUGAAACAUCUUAUUUGAAUAGUACUUUAAAGGGCAAUCCUCUCCCCAUGUAAACCUACGUUAUUUUAUUUAAUAGGGAUUUCUGCUCCUUUUACAGUCAUUUCAACAAGUAUUUGCAGCUUCUUCUAUGCCUUCGCGAGCAUUCCCCUCUAAGGGAUCAGAGGUCAUGCAGACAGAAAAACAAGGGGCACCUGGCCUGGGCUUCCUUUCCACUCUGCACACUUUGUGUUCUCUUCCUCUGAACAAGAUUCCAGGUUAUAGUCUACAGACCCUUGCCAUUGGAUACUAAUGGGGGGAGGGUUGAGUACUAGGAACUCCAGUUGUUCAUGCCAUGUCUCUAGUCAAACACCAUCACUGUUAAUCUCCAUCUGGUUGAUACCUGAGAUCAUCUCUCAAUUGGAACAGAUCUCAAGGCAGGUGUGAUGGGUCAACUUGACAGGACCACAGACAAAUGAUCACAUAGUAUAUUAAUUAUUCUGUGGAGGUGACAUUGGAUGAGAUUAACAAUUAAAUCAGUGCACUUUGAGUAAAACAGAUUACCCUCUCUGUUAUGGAUGAGCCUCAACUAAUCAGUUGAAGGCCUGAAUAGUACAGAAGACUAACAUCCAUCAACAAGAAGGAAAUCUGCAGCAGAAAGCUCUUAAACUUGAACUGUGACAGUGACUCUUCCCUAGUUCUCUAAUCUACUAGCACAUCCUACAGAUCUUGGAAAGGUCAGCUUCUAUAAUUGCUGAGACAAUUAAA